ACCAAUAAACGCAGAGAAGAACUCUCAGCGUGACUACGCCCUCGCUGCCUAAUUACAGCGACGCGUGUCUGUCAGCCUAGGUUUCGUUCCUGACCUAGAUCCUGGCAUCGACUAAGGAACUAGCCGGCUGGUCGGGUCAUCAGGACCAGUCGGGACUCUUACUGGUGACUGGGCCCAUCAUCCGGACGUGUUCGCCCGAUCCGGAGGGCCGAGCAGAGAUUCUGUGCGAACUGCGCACGGAGAAGCCCUGGCAAGGUGACGAAGGACCCGGGUUCAAUUCCCGGCAGCUCCACCG
rnacentral:tmRNA from 1 species